AGGGAGCUCUUCACCUCUAUCCAAAGCCACCGCGCCGCGCCGCGCACACCCAAUCAUGUCAGUUGUGAAAUGACGAAUGAACAAGAAAUAUACCUUCACAGGUUGUUUUUAUUAGCCAAAUCACCCCUUUAAAAACAAUACCAUUCCACACAAUUUAUUUCUCAUAGCUUAUCGUCUUCAAACUUUAAAUAUUCAUAUUUUAAUUUGUUUUCUUCAAUUCAAUGAUUUCUCUUUCUAAAUAUGAUAAAAGUUAGCUUGUCAGUAAGAUAAUUGAAUCGAACGAGGACGUCAGCAGUUCCUAAAACUUUUAACGCUUUAAAAAAAAAUAGAUAUGCAAAAAGGUUUUGUAUUAAAAAUAUUUGAUGCGCGAAGAAGGGCUGAACUGCAGAAAAAAUCAUUCGCAGGCAUAGAAAAUUUAACUGUCUUCACACGAAAAAGGUGUGACACACACCAAAUUCAUAAAAAAAAAAAUAAUAAACGCUAUAAACAAGACAAGACUGACUCAGCAUAUUGAGUAUUUUCGUAUGAAUUUUAAUAAACAAAAAGUAUCAACAUUUUAAACAAAAAAUACCAUUAGUUUCAGUGUUGUUCCCUACAUUUUAGUGAAGAAAACUAAGGGUAGACCAAAAACAUCUUGUAAAUACACAAUUCUCAGUUUAACUUCAAUAGAUUUCCACCAAGGUGGGUAGAUGAAGACAAAAAUAAAAAAAAAAAAAACACCCCUAAAAAGGACUUAAGACCGCUCAAGAACCAGCCAACAAAA